rnacentral:rRNA from 1 species
UACGAAGGGGGCUAGCGUUGCUCGGAAUCACUGGGCGUAAAGCGCACGUAGGCGGAUUGUUAAGUCAGGGGUGAAAUCCUGGAGCUCAACUCCAGAACUGCCUUUGAUACUGACGGUCUUGAGUUCGGGAGAGGUGAGUGGAACUGCGAGUGUAGAGGUGAAAUUCGUAGAUAUUCGCAAGAACACCAGUGGCGAAGGCGGCUCACUGGCCCGAUACUGACGCUGAGGUGCGAAAGCGUGGGGAGCAGACAGG